rnacentral:tRNA from 1 species
GGAGAGGUGGCUGAGUGGCCGAAAGCACCGGUUUGCUAAAUCGGCGUAGGUGUAACAGCCUACCGCGGGUUCGAAUCCCGCCCUCUCCG